rnacentral:tRNA from 1 species
UUAGACCCUGCAGUGGUGCCAUUAUGGUCCUGCUUUUCGCAAACGUUGUUGGUCUAUAUUGGAUGGGGGUAAUCAGUGCGAUUCUGAUGGGACUAGG